rnacentral:misc_RNA from 1 species
ACACUCCUCUGCCAUCUCAAGCUGCAGAAAGUUGUAUGGCAAGUGAGUAAGCGAUUUCAACUUAAAUGUUUGCAUGAUUGCAUCAUAGUUUUACAUGGAUCACUAUUUGUUAAACCUAAGGAAAUAACAAUAAGCAUCCUCUUACCAUCAAACUCUCAGUAUGACCUUUCUCUUUAUAAGUACCCUCAUAUUGUUAUAGAUAAUUUCCGGCUUCAUAGAUAUGGAUCCAUACACUGGUUGUCCCAGUCACAAAUAACUAAUGUUUUGGACAGCGACAUGGUCACCAAGAAAUUACUUUUAAGCCUCUGAUCACUAAUUACUAGUCCAAAAUGUAUGCAAAAUGAUAGUAAAUUGACACGUUGAAACUACUUUUGAAGACAAAUCUAGCAAUGGAACUGUUGAAUGCACGCAACACAAAAUGUCCAAAGGUUAUUCUUAGUGAAUCUAAACCUGUGCAAAAUACAGCGAGUUUUCAAAAGUUCAGUCAAAGUAUUCUUAGAGACAUUUGAUGGUCAAAUUCACGCAAUAUAAAACGACACUUAUUUGCAACCAGAUAAAGUAAUAUUGAGAAAACAUUAUGGCUGAACCACUGUAUAAGGACAACAUAGAUUGUAGCAUUGCACAUGCACCCGGUAGCUGUACCUUUCCACUUGACAUAGCUAACUC